GCCUUUGAGGCGCUUCAACCAUGGCGAAGGUUUCAAGCUUCCAGUUUGUUGUCGUUGUGGCCGCAUUGGUUUUCAUUUUGGCCACAAUGCACGACGAAAGCACUUGCUUAGCCGCUCCCGAAGAUGUACCUGCAGCUAAAGCUAAACAUGAUACUAGUUCAAACACUAAAAGGAGGCGUCGACGUCGACGUGAAGGACGCAAGAACAAGAAGCGGCCUACGUCUCCUGUCCAACCUCGGGAAGAUCCUGACUUAGGCGACUAAGUGAUUUGCUUGCAGCAACAGUGCACUUCUCGAACGUGGAAUGCAAAAUAAAUAUAACUUGCUUUAAGCAUAA